ACCAGACUCCUACGGGAGGCAGCAGUGAGGAAUAUUGCACAAUGGGGGGAACCCUGAUGCAGCGACGCCGCGUGGGUGAAGGAGCACCUCGGUGCGUAAAGCCCUAUCGGCAGGGAAGAAACAGACGGUACCUGACUAAGAAGCCCCGGCUAACUACGUGCCAGCAGCCGCGGUAAUACGUAGGGGGCAAGCGUUAUCCGGAGUCACUGGGUGUAAAGGGAGCGUAGACGGCGACGCAAGUCUGGAGUGAAAGCCCGGGGCUCAACCCCGGGACUGCAUUUGAAACUGUCAGGCUGGAGUGCAGGGGAGGUAAGUGGAAUUCCUAGUGUAGCGGUGAAAUGCGUAGAUAUUAGGAGGAACACCAGUGGCGAAGGCGGCUUACUGGACUGUAACUGACGUUGAGGCUCGAAAGCGUGGGGAGCAAACAGGAUUAGAUACCCUGGUACA
rnacentral:rRNA from 1 species